AUUGAACGCUGGCGGCAUGCCUUACACAUGCAAGUCGAACGGUAACGGGCCUUCGGGUGCCGACGAGUGGCGCACGGGUGCGUAAUACAUCGGAACGUGCCCGAUCGUGGGGGAUAACGAGGCGAAAGCUUUGCUAAUACCGCAUACGAUCUACGGAUGAAAGCCGGGGACCGCAAGGCCUUGCGCGGACGGAGCGGCCGAUGGCAGAUUAGGUAGUUGGUGGGAUAAAAGCUUACCAAGCCGACGAUCUGUAGCUGGUCUGAGAGGAUGAUCAGCCACACUGGGACUGAGACACGGCCCAGACUCCUACGGGAGGCAGCAGUGGGGAAUUUUGGACAAUGGGCGCAAGCCUGAUCCAGCCAUGCCGCGUGCAGGAUGAAGGCCUUCGGGUUGUAAACUGCUUUUGUACGGAACGAAAAGCCUUCUUUUAAUACAGGAGGGUCAUGACGGUACCGUAAGAAUAAGCACCGGCUAACUACGUG
rnacentral:rRNA from 1 species